UACGAAGGGUGCAAGCGUUAAUCGGAAUUACUGGGCGUAAAGCGCGCGUAGGUGGUUCAGUAAGUUGGAUGUGAAAUCCCCGGGCUCAACCUGGGAACUGCAUCCAAAACUGAUGAGCUAGAGUACGGUAGAGGGUGGUGGAAUUUCCUGUGUAGCGGUGAAAUGCGUAGAUAUAGGAAGGAACACCAGUGGCGAAGGCGACCACCUGGACUGAUACUGACACUGAGGUGCGAAAGCGUGGGGAGCAAACAGG
rnacentral:rRNA from 1 species